UACGAAGGGGGCUAGCGUUGCUCGGAAUGACUGGGCGUAAAGGGCGCGUAGGCGGAUGGCACAGUCAGAUGUGAAAUUCCCGGGCUUAACCUGGGGGCUGCAUUUGAUACGUGUGAUCUAGAGUGAGGAAGAGGGUCGUGGAAUUCCCAGUGUAGAGGUGAAAUUCGUAGAUAUUGGGAAGAACACCAGUGGCGAAGGCGGCGACCUGGUCCUUGACUGACGCUGAGGCGCGAAAGCGUGGGGAGCAAACAGG
rnacentral:rRNA from 1 species